rnacentral:rRNA from 1 species
GUCUUCUUGUUAUAUUUAGGAAGUCUGGCCUGCCCAGUGAAAAUAAUUUAACGGCCGCGGUAUACUGACCGUGCAAAGGUAGCAUAAUCAUUAGUCUUUUAAUAGAGGGCUGGUAUGAAGGGUUUAACGAGGUGUUGACUGUCUCAUUUAAUUUGAAUUUAGAAUUUAAUUUUUUAGUUAAAAAGCUAAAAUACUAUUGGAAGACGAGAAGACCCUAUAGAGCUUUAUAUUUUUACUAUUAAUUUAUUAUAGGUUAUUAUUAUUUAUUAUUAGUAGAAAGUAUUUUGUUGGGGUGACAAAAAUAUAUGAAUAACUUUUUUAUUUUAUUUACAUUGAUAUAUGAAUAUUAGAUCCAAUCUUAUUGAUUGUUAGAUUAAGUUACCUUAGGGAUAACAGCGUAAUCCCUCUCCAGAGUUCAUAUUUACAGAGGGGCUUGCGACCUCGAUGUUGGAUUAAGAUAAUAAUUAGGUGCAGCCGCUUAAUUAAUAGGUCUGUUCGACCUUUAAAUUCUU